rnacentral:rRNA from 2 species
UGGGGAAUUUUACACAAUGGGCGAAAGCCUGAUGUAGCAACGCCGCGUGGAGGAUGACGGAUUUAGGUCUGUAAACUCCUUUUAUAGGGGAAGAAAUUUGACGGUACCCUAUGAAUAAGCGCCGGCUAACUCCGUGCCAGCAGCCGCGGUAAUACGGGGGGCGCAAGCGUUACUCGGAAUCACUGGGCGUAAAGGGAGCGUAGGCGUUCUAUUAAGUCUCGAGUGAAAUCCCGCAGCCUAACUGCGGAACUGCUCGGGAAACUGAUAGAAUAGAGUAUGGAAGAGGUAGGUGGAAUUUCCAGUGUAGGGGUAAAAUCCGUAGAUAUUGGAAGGAAUACCAGAAGCGAAGGCGACCUACUGGGACAUUACUGACGCUGAGGCUCGAAAGCGUGGGGAGCAAACA